rnacentral:piRNA from 1 species
UGGACACCAAAUGUUGCUUUUAAGUAGC